rnacentral:rRNA from 1 species
AUUGAACGCUGGCGGCAGGCCUAACACAUGCAAGUCGAGCGCGCGGCGGACGGGUGAGUAAUGUAUGGGGACUGCCCGAUAGAGGGGGAUAACUACUGGAAACGGUGGCUAAUACCGCAUAUUGUAGGAUAACCCAUAUGGGAUUAGCGAGUAGGUAAGGUAAUGGAUUACCUAGGCGACGAUCCCUAGCUGGUCUGAGAGGAUGAUCAGGCACACUGGGACUGAGAAAAGGACCAGACUCCGACGGAGGCAGCAGUGGGGAAUAUUGCACAAUGGGCGCAAGCCUGAUGCAGCCAUGCCGCGUGUAUGAAGAAGGCCCUAGGGUUGUAAAGUACUUUCAGUCGGGAGGCGUUACCGGCAGAAGAAGCACCGGCUAACUCCGUGCCAGCAGCCGCGGUAAUUC